rnacentral:rRNA from 1 species
GAUGAACGCUGGCGGCGUGCCUAAUACAUGCAAGUCGAGCGAACAGACGAGGAGCUUGCUCCUCUGACGUUAGCGGCGGACGGGUGAGUAACACGUGGAUAACCUACCUAUAAGACUGGGAUAACUUCGGGAAACCGGAGCUAAUACCGGAUAAUAUCUUGAACCGCAUGGUUCAAUAGUGAAAGACGGUUUUGCUGUCACUUAUAGAUGGAUCCGCGCCGCAUUAGCUAGUUGGUAAGGUAACGGCUUACCAAGGCAACGAUGCGUAGCCGACCUGAGAGGGUGAUCGGCCACACUGGAACGGAGACACGGACCAGACUCCUACGGGAGGCAGCAGUAGGGAAUCUUCCGCAAUGGGCGAAAGCCUGACGGAGCAACGCCGCGUGAGAGAUGAAGGUCUUCGGAUCGUAAAACUCUGUUAUUAGGGAAGAACAAAUGUGUAAGUAACUAUGCACGUCUUGACGGUACCUAAUCAGAAAGCCACGGCUAACUACGUG